GAGGGUAUAGCUCAAGUGAUAGAGCACAUGCUUAGCAUGCAUGAGGUCCUGGGUUCAAUCCCCAGUGCCUCCU
rnacentral:tRNA from 1 species